rnacentral:rRNA from 1 species
CCUACGGGUGGCAGCAGUGGGGAAUAUUGGGCAAUGGACGCAAGUCUGACCCAGCAACGCCGCGUGAAUGAUGAAGGCUUUCGGAUUGUAAACUUCUUUGUUCAGGGAUGAAGACAGUGACGGUACCUGAAUAGCAAGCCACGGCUAACUACGUGCCAGCAGCCGCGGUAAUACGUAGGUGGCAAGCGUUAUCCGGAAUUACUGGGUGUAAAGGGUGCGUAGGUGGUUUGGUAAGUUGGCGGUGAAAUUCCGGGGCUCAACCCCGGCGUUCCCGCCGAAACUAUCAGACUAGAGUGCAGGAGAGGUACGCGGAAUUCGCAGUGUAGCGGUGGAAUGCGUAGAUAUCAGGAAGAACACCGAGUGCGAAGGCAGCUUACCGG